GACGAACGCUGGCGGCGUGCCUAAUACAUGCAAGUCGAACGAGAGCGACCGGUGCUUGCACUGGUCAAUCUAGUGGCGAACGGGUGAGUAACACGUGGGUAACCUGCCCAUCAGAGGGGGAUAACAUCCGGAAACGGAUGCUAAAACCGCAUAGGUCUUCGAGCCGCAUGGCUUGAAGAGGAAAAGAGGCGCAAGCUUCUGCUGAUGGAUGUACCCGCGGUGCAUUAGCUAGUUGGUGAGGUAACGGCUCACCAAGGCCGUGAUGCAUAGCCGACCUGAGAGGGUGAUCGGCCACAUUGGGACUGAGACACGGCCCAAACUCCUACGGGAGGCAGCAGUAGGGAAUCUUCCGCAAUGGACGCAAGUCUGACGGAGCAACGCCGCGUGAGUGAAGAAGGUUUUCGGAUCGUAAAACUCUGUUGUUAGAGAAGAACAAGUGCUAGAGUAACUGUUAGCGCCUUGACGGUAUCUAACCAGAAAGCCACGGCUAACUACGUG
rnacentral:rRNA from 1 species